rnacentral:rRNA from 1 species
UACGGAAGGCAGCAGUGGGGAAUAUUGCACAAUGGGCGAAAGCCUGAUGCAGCUAUGCCGCGUGUAUGAAGAAGGCCUUAGGGUUGUAAAGUACUUUCAUCGGGGAGGAAAAAACAAAACUAAUAAUUUUAUUUCUUGACGUUACCCGAAAAAGAAGCACCGGCUAACUCCGUGCCAGCAGCCGCGGUAAUACGGAGGGUGCUAGCGUUAAUCAGAAUUACUGGGCGUAAAGAGCACGUAGGUGGUUUUUUAAGUCAGAUGUGAAAUCCCUGGGCUUAACCUAGGAACUGCAUUUUGAAACUGAAAUACUAGAGUAUCGUAGAGGGAGGUAGAAUUCUAGGUGUAGCGGUGAAAUGCGUAGAUAUCUGGAGGAAUACCUGUGGCGAAAGCGGCCUCCUAAACGAAUACUGACACUGAGGUGCGAAAGCGUGGGGAGCAAACAGGGAUUAGAUACC